UCAGGCCAUUCUGAUCCCGGAAUUCCUUCGGUUGGGAACUUGAGGGUCUUUGCCGAUCUGAGAAUCACUCAACCUCUCGGCAAGGACUUCUAGUCUCAGUUGUGACCUUGUGUCUUCCAGUUUGCCGCUGUCGUUUUGAACUAGAACUGUCCUUAAGGCCGUCCUUGAGAGGACACCUCCACGAACACGCGUUUCUUCGCACCUUGGACGGCUCUGUACAAGACAAGGAUUCUCUCUGGUUUGGGUGCACCGGACCUUGGCACUUGUCUUCCUUUCCCAGUGGGAGCCACAUGAAGACAUCUUCCAGAUGCCUGAACAAGCGAGAACUAGAACACCUGGAGCUGGAUGCUCCCAUAUAGUGCCUGCCUCCCAACAUGCAUUUACACCCCGGAACCCACCUAAAAACCUAGGCAUCGUGGCAAUGUGUUUCCAGGACUGGGGAGGUAGACACAGGUAUAUCCCUGCCGCUCACUGACCUGUCAGCCCGGACAAAUUAAUGAGCUCCGCGUUCGGUGAGAGACAUUGUCAUAAAAAGUAGCGUGAAGAGCCAUCAAAGAAGACCCUAAACAUCAAUCUCUUGCAUCCAUAUUUGUGCAUACACACAUGCACAUAACACAUGGCACACACAUACACACAUA